rnacentral:lncRNA from 1 species
GACAACAUCGUACAAUACCAAUGACCCUUGUACGCAUCUUCUCCAAAACGCGAGAUUCAACCGAGAGGAAGAAUCCAAAACGACGCCAAGGUUCCUUUUUUGCUUAACUUGUUUGUCACGCGGGGGGCACGAGCUCUUGUACCCGCAAUACAGUCCAAACGUUCCCAUACGGUAAUAUUCAUUCCAAUUUCCUUUUUCCUUUCCCAAUUUCGUUCAAAAUAGUACGAAUUCGUACACCCUUCAGCUCACCUAGCCUUAUCCUUUAAGAUUUUUGAAUUUGGGAUUCUCCCACAUCGGUUCUAUCCCAGAAAUUUCCCUCAAAUCUCUCCUAUAAAAGGCCCCUCUCUUCACUGUUCAAAGGACGGGUUUUUUUUGGGAGAUUAAAGAGCAUCCUCGAAAAGGUUUUGGGAGCUCUUAGUUCAUAGUUCAAAAUUUUCUCUUGUCUUGGCUGUCGAGUUGAAAGUGGUGUCUUUCUCGAGCUCGUCGUCCUGGUUCGCUGCUCGGCGAAAGGUAAAUUCUUUUCUUUCCUUAAGUUGGUUUGAGCAUUUGGAUAGUAUAAUUUCUUUGUCGUUUUAUAUGGGUUUAGUCUUAUAAUUUUCUUUAUCUUUACGUUGUUGAGUUUCCUGUCCUAUACUUUAUUCUUGCUUUGUAUAGUUUCUACUCUAGAUGUUAAUACUUUAUCAGAUUUGGGAAACUAUGAAUUACUAAUGAUUAUAUGAUUUGUUAUUUUUGGUCGAUUUGACAACAAGUUAACUCACCAUAUUUCCUUUGGAACCCUUUCGAAAUCGAGGAUUUGUUGUCAAUAAAUUUGAGCGACAUAUUAUUCAUAUACAUUGAUUUGAAAUAAGGGAAGCAUUUUUUUUAGAUUUGACGUUUGCUUGUAAUGCCUAAUAUGGUUUCUGAUGUACUGUUAAAUUUUAAUAUGAAUAGAUGCUUUAAAUUUUGCACAUUUACAGUCACCAUAGGCAUAUUAAGAUAUUAGCUUAGGUAAAUAUUGUUUCGUAUUGAUUCUAAUUUUUAUUUCCUCUUUCUCAUGAACACUCUCUUAUUCGAGUUCAUUUGGACUCCCCAUCUCUUACAUAUUCCUCUUAUUGAGUCAACCUCCAUUGGAAUCGUGAAAGGGAAGAUAGUAUUGUUUGGUUAAAAUCCAAACCGAAGGCAGCAGCUCAGUAGAGAAAUAAUAAUGGUCCUAAAGGGCUGAAGUCCGAGUUUUUGGACUUAAAAUUUCAAUAAAAUGACCAGCAGUAGCAGCUGCCUCUAAAAGGCAGAAAAACGAGGAGCAAAAUUGGGUAAAAAUCCUAAAAAACAGCAGCAACAGUAGCCUCAAAGGGCUGAAAAACGGAGCAGCAGGAGCAGCCUUAAAAAGGCUGAAAAUUGAGAAUUUUUGGACCUUCGAAAGUCCAAUUUAAACAGCGACAGCAACAUCAACCAGAAGGAUUGGGACUUGGGCUGAAAUAAAUUUCAGUAGCUUCUUUACUUUCCUUAUUCCCUUAAUUUGCCUUGUCAUUGCUAUAUUUUCUUUAUUAUAUUUGAUUGGGAAAGCUAACAACUUUAAGAUCCUUUUUCCUUAACCUAGAUGAAUCGUUGGAAGGAUUUUUAUUUCAUAUUAUGUUGUUUGUUUGCUUUAAAAUUUUCAAAUUCCCAAAAUCCAUUUUUAGUUAGGUAAUUUAAGCUUAUAGAAUGACUUAAGAACCUCUCAUGUUCUUUCAUAGUUAUUUAAAAGCUUUGAAUCCAUUUUUAUAAGUUUGAACUAAACUAUUUAGUUCAAAUUUUUGAAUAGGAUAAAAUUGUUAAGUUUUUUUUUAGAAUAAACUAGUUGUCUUUUAAUUUAAAUUAGGACUUUGUAUGAAUGACUUAUGGAUCUUCAAUAUCCUUUCAUAGUUGUUAAACAAGUCCUUUAAUCUAUGUUUGUGAGUUUGAAUUAAUCGUAUGAUUCAAAACAUGACUAUGGAUAAAACUUUCAAAUUAGGAUUAUAUUUCAGAUUUCCAUGAGCAUCAAAAGAUUUUUUUUAUUUAAGUUUCAAACAAGAUUUUUUAUAAGUAAUUCAUUUAUUUUAUAAAAAUUAGCCAAAUUUUUAAAUCCGUCCGCGUGGUAGCGGAUUCUCUAAGAUGCCUAAACCCUUCCUUAGAGAAUUAUUUGAACCCUUACCUGAUUCUGGUUUUAUUUAAAAUAUUUCCUUUCAAAAAUUCCUUUUAAAAUGUUUUUUUUAAUUUUUCCUAAAAAUUAAGUGGCGAC